GGGUUGUGAGGUUAAGCGACUAAGCGUACACGGUGGAUGCCCUGGCAGUCAGAGGCGAUGAAGGACGUGCUAAUCUGCGAUAAGCGUCGGUAAGGUGAUAUGAACCGUUAUAACCGGCGAUUUCCGAAUGGGGAAACCCAGUGUGAUUCGUCACACUAUCAUUAACUGAAUCCAUAGGUUAAUGAGGCGAACCGGGGGAACUGAAACAUCUAAGUACCCCGAGGAAAAGAAAUCAACCGAGAUUCCCCCAGUAGCGGCGAGCGAACGGGGAGCAGCCCAGAGCCUGAAUCAGUGUGUGUGUUAGUGGAAGCGUCUGGAAAGGCGCGCGAUACAGGGUGACAGCCCCGUACACAAAAAUACACAUACUGUGAGCUCGAUGAGUAGGGCGGGACACGUGGUAUCCUGUCUGAAUAUGGGGGGACCAUCCUCCAAGGCUAAAUACUCCUGACUGACCGAUAGUGAACCAGUACCGUGAGGGAAAGGCGAAAAGAACCCCGGCGAGGGGAGUGAAAAAGAACCUGAAACCGUGUACGUACAAGCAGUGGGAGCACGCUUAGGCGUGUGACUGCGUACCUUUUGUAUAAUGGGUCAGCGACUUAUAUUCUGUAGCAAGGUUAACCGAAUAGGGGAGCCGAAGGGAAACCGAGUCUUAACUGGGCGUUAAGUUGCAGGGUAUAG
rnacentral:rRNA from 1 species